rnacentral:tRNA from 1 species
GCCGUCGUGACGUAGCGGUAACGUGCCUGCUUUCCAAGCAGGUUUCACCAGUUCGAUCCUGGUCGACGGCA